rnacentral:rRNA from 1 species
AUGUUGAUGAUUCCUAGUGUUCUCAUGCGAAAAUGUUUGCUCAAGUUCAUUAUUAAAUCAUAUGCGUUGGACAGAAAAAGGUUUAUCAUGCCACCAAAAAACGGUGCGAUAUCAUUGCGCACCGAAGAUGUGUUUGACAUAUUUGGGCUACAGAACAAGGGCAAAGAUGCCAUGAAAGCGCUAGGAAAAGGGGGGUUAAAGGCGAAGGUGAAGGUGCCUAGUCGCUUUCUAGAUUCCAAUAUGAGGGAAAUGAUGAUAGACGAGCUGAUUGAGAACAUUGUUGCCUGUGGCACGUACGAUGAUGAUUUUCUCCAUAGAAUUGUUCUGGUUCUUCUAGGCACGUUUCUUGCACCACAGUCCAUGAAAGAAGUUCCUAAUGCUUAUUACAAGUUAGUGCAUGAUGUGGAGGCCAUCAAAGCAUUUAAUUGGAACGCGUUUGCAUUGAAGGCAUCACAAAGACCUUAUCAGAUCUUACAAAAUUUACUUGGCCGAUCGGAAACCUUGCCCUCCUACAGUACUUGUUUUGGGAGAAAGUGCAGCCACUGGAUGAUGAGGCAUUUGAUCCACUAG